rnacentral:rRNA from 1 species
UACGUAGGGAGCGAGCGUUGUCCGAAGUUACUGGGCGUAAAGCGCGUGUAGGCGGGUUGUUAAGUCCGCUGUGAAAGCCCGGGGCUCAACCCCGGAGGGUCGGUGGAUACUGGCAGUCUUGAAGUGGCUAGGGGGAAAUGGAAUUACCGGUGUAGCGGUGAAAUGCGUAGAGAUCGGUAGGAACACCAGUGGCGAAGGCGGUUUCCUGGAGCCCACUUGACGCUGAGACGCGAAAGCUGGGGGAGCGAACGGG